GAGAAGGUAUAAAUGGGCAGUGCACAGGGCCCAACUUUACUAAUCAACCCUAAAAUCAACAUUUAACCCGUUGGGUUUUAAAGUCUUUAAAGUAUAUAUCCAGUAUAACUCACGUUUUUUGAGGAGAGCUUGUCUAUCUCCCCCCCGUCUCCCCAAUUCUAUCUGUUCCAAAAUGCGAAAUCUCAGAUCAUUCUGUGUGUGUCCUGCAUCUUUAA